CUCGCUCCAGAUGUGACGUGAGCUCUGUGGUGGACGAGGUGUUUGUGUCGCACCUGGAGGCCAACCUCCCAGAGUUCAGACACCUGAAGGAGAGGAUCAAAAAGGAGCCGGCUGCACGCCGAAAAAAGUCAUCAGUGGAUCUCUUUGGGGCCGUCAUGUCAGUCAGUUAUUCAAAGAUGUGUUUAAGCAAAAGAGAAGUCCUGAAGGGAGGGGCGCCCAUGGUGUGUGGCGUGGUGAUUACAUCUGAGCCGGCAGCUUUCGCAUCAGGAGAGGAUCACCUCACUGUCAGCUUUGACAGUUUGAACCCCGGAUACAACACAGUAAG